rnacentral:rRNA from 1 species
GACGAACGCUGGCGGCGUGCUUAACACAUGCAGGUCGAACGGAAAGGCCCUGCUUUUGUGGGGUGCUCGAGUGGCGAACGGGUGAGUAACACGUGAGUAACCUGCCCUUGACUUUGGGAUAACUUCAGGAAACUGGGGCUAAUACCGGAUAGGAGCUCCUGCUGCAUGGUGGGGGUUGGAAAGUUUCGGCGGUUGGGGAUGGACUCGCGGCUUAUCAGCUUGUUGGUGGGGUAGUGGCUUACCAAGGCUUUGACGGGUAGCCGGCCUGAGAGGGUGACCGGCCACAUUGGGACUGAGAUACGGCCCAGACUCCUACGGGAGGCAGCAGUGGGGAAUAUUGCACAAUGGGCGGAAGCCUGAUGCAGCAACGCCGCGUGCGGGAUGACGGCCUUCGGGUUGUAAACCGCUUUCGCCUGUGACGAAGCGUGAGUGACGGUAAUGGGUAAAGAAGCACCGGCUAACUAC